rnacentral:rRNA from 1 species
CCCUUAGAUGUUCGGGGCCGCACGCGCGCUACACUGAUGAAUGCAACGAGCUCUACCCUUGACCGAAAGGCCCGGGUAAACUUGUGAAACUUCAUCGUGAUGGGGAUAGAUUAUUGCAAUUAUUAAUCUUCAACGAGGAAUUCCUAGUAAGCGCGAGUCAUCAGCUCGCGUUGAUUACGUCCCUGCCCUUUGUACACACCGCCCGUCGCUCCUACCGAUUGAAUGGUCCGGUGAAAUCUUCGGAUUGCUGACCAAGAUCCAGCAAUGGAGCUUGGUUGCGAGAAGUUGAUUAAACCUUAUUAUUUAGAGGAAGGAGAAGUCGUAACA